rnacentral:RNase_P_RNA from 1 species
CGAGCAGGCCGGAUGGCCGCGGGAGGCUUAAAGCCUCCUGAGGAAAGUCCGGGCUCCGAAGGGCAGGAUGCUGGGUAACGCCCAGGAGAGGCAACUCUCAGGAAAGUGCCACAGAAAUGGAGACCGCCUCCGUGCUUCACGGAGGCAAGGGUGCAACGGCGAGGUAAGAGCUCACCAGCAGGGUGGUGACAUCCUGGCUAGGUAAACCCCAUCCGGUGCAAGGCCAAAUAGGGGGAGUGGCUGCGGCGAAAGCGGCAGUCUCCUGGCUGCCCGCCAGGUGUCCCCGGGUUAGGCCGCACGAGGUGCAUGGCAACAUGCAUCCAAGAUAAAUGGCCAUCCUGCGCCGUCAAGGCGCAGACAGAACCCGGCUUACAGGCCUGCCCGUCUU